rnacentral:rRNA from 1 species
GAUGAACGCUGGCGGCGUGCCUAACACAUGCAAGUCGAACGGAGUUUAUGAAGUUUUCGGACGGAUUAAACUUAGUGGCGGACGGGUGAGUAACGCGUGGGUAACCUGCCUCAUACAGGGGGAUAACAGUUGGAAACGGCUGCUAAAACCGCAUAAGCAUACAUUGUCGCAUGACAGAGUGUGAAAAAUAUUUAUAGGUAUGAGAUGGGCCCCGCGUCUGAUUAGCUAGUUGGUGGGGUAAUGGCCUACCAAGGCAACGAUCAGUAGCCGGCUUGAGAGAGUGACCGGCCACAUUGGGACUGAGACACGGCCCAAACUCCUACGGGAGGCUG